rnacentral:rRNA from 1 species
AGAGUUUGAUCCUGGCUCAGGAUGAACGCUGGCGGCGUGCCUAAUACAUGCAAGUCGAACGGAGAUUGUAGCAAUACGGUCUUAGUGGCGAACGGGUGAGUAACGCGUUGGCAACCUGCCCCGAAGUGUGGGAUAACGGUCCGAAAGGGCCACUAAUACCACAUGUGAUCCCGAGGAACAGAUACUUGGGAUGAAAGGAGCGAUUCGCUUCGGGAGGGGCCUGCGUCCCAUCAGCUAGUUGGUAAGGUAACGGCUUACCAAGGCGAUGACGGGUAGGGGACCUGAGAGGGUGGCCCCCCACAAUGGAACUGAAACACGGUCCAUACACCUACGGGUGGCAGCAGUAGGGAAUAUUGGUUAAUGUGCGAAAGCGCGAACCAGCAACGCCGCGUGUGCGAUGAAGGCCUUCGGGUCGUAAAGCACUUUUUGCAGGGAAGAGGAAGGACGGUACCUGCAGAAUAAGUCUCGGCUAACUACGUGCCAGCAGCCGCGGUAAAACGUAGGAGACGAGCGUUAUCCGGAUUUACUGGGCGUAAAGCGCGUGCAGGCGGCAUGGCAAGUUGGAUGUGAAAGCUCCCGGCUUAACUGGGAGAGGUCGUUCAAUACUGCCAGGCUUGAGAGUGGUAGAGGGAAGCGGAAUUCCGGGUGUAGUGGUGAAAUGCGUAGAUAUCCGGAGGAACACCAGUGGCGAAAGCGGCUUCCUGGCCCAUUUCUGACGCUCAGACGCGAAAGCUAGGGUAGCAAACGGGAUUAGAGACCCCGGUAGUCCUAGCCGUAAACGAUGAAUGCUAGGUGUGGGUGUAGAGAUACAUUCGUGCCGGAGUUAACGCGAUAAGCAUUCCGCCUGGGGAGUACGGUCGCAAGAUUGAAACUCAAAGGAAUUGACGG